rnacentral:rRNA from 1 species
UACGAAGGGGGCUAGCGUUGUUCGGAAUCACUGGGCGUAAAGGGCGCGUAGGCGGCUUGACAAGUCAGGUGUGAAAGCCCCGGGCUCAACCCGGGAAUUGCACUUGAUACUGUCUGGCUAGAGUCCGGAAGAGGAGAGUGGAAUUCCCGGUGUAGCGGUGAAAUGCGCAGAUAUCGGGAAGAACACCCGUGGCGAAGGCGGCUCUCUGGGACGGUACUGACGCUGAGACGCGAAAGCGUGGGGAGCGAACAGG